UCCUACGUGUUGUCCUUUCCUCCAAUUGA
rnacentral:piRNA from 2 species